CGCCCUAAAUGUGUACGCAAUAAAAUUAUUUAAAAACCCUACAUUUCUGUGUAUGAUGUUGUCAUUUUAGAGUGAUGAGAGUGUUCGAGUAAGAUCCCUGUGCCUAACAAAUAAUAUUACAAGUAUAUUGUAUCUAUGGUAAAAGUGACCUUAUAUGUGGUGCUACAUGCUGAACAUGUAAUCAUGAGAACCUGUGUAGAAAAUGAUGGAUUAGAGAGAGAUAAAGGGACAUAACUGCUCUUAAAAUCAAGAAAAUUUCCAACUUCACUGUCUACUUCUUUACAUACUGUAUAUGUAUAGAUCUGAAAUAUGCUCUAAUUAAGUAAACAACUCCCCAACAAGAUUUUGAAUACCUGUUCUCUUCUUACAUUCUAUUCUAUGCCAUCCUAAUAGUGAAAACUAAAGAUUCAUGCAAUUCAGUCAAAUGUCAAAGGGGAGGUGGCUUGUUUACAAGUACCACCCAUAAAUGAGAAAAUGGUGUUAACUGUGUUUUUUGUGUACAAAACGUCUCUAAAAUGACUUAUUUCUCUAUCUGCAAGUAUUUUUUCAUAAAUAUGUAUCAUGGUGCUGAGAAGAAAUGUGAUCUACUGUACCUGAGACCUGCCAAUCAGUACAAUUUGUUAAUUACAUGUAGAACAUGUAAAACUACAUGUCAUCUAUGUAAAAAGAAUACACAGUAUAUGAAGUACCCCAAAUAACAUUAUUUUAACCACUAAGCUUAUUUACAUGUACUUACAUGUCACUAUGAUACUUGACCAGAUUCUGGUUUUCCAUAGUACUAAAGCAUAGCUUACCCCCCUUGACUCUGUUGUCUACCAUUGUGACACUAAUGUGAUACAUCUAUUGAAAUAAGGGGUUGUAUUACAUAUCUAAUACAUUUAUCUUGAUAAUAUUAAUGAAAUUGACUGAAUUCCAUGGGUUUCAAAAAAUGCCAUUCUCUUAAAGAAUUCUGACAUCUCAUGUCAUUGACGUCAACUCCCAUUUUUGACAAAUCUGACUUAUUCUGAGUGAAACUACACCAAUACAUCAUGUCGACCGCCCUAAAUGUGUACGCAAUAAAAUUAUUUAAAAACCCUACAUUUCUGUGUAUGAUGUUGUCAUUUUAGAGUGAUGAGAGUGUUCGAGUAAGAUCCCUGUGCCUAACAAAUAAUAUUACAAGUAUAUUGUAUCUAUGGUAAAAGUGACCUUAUAUGUGGUGCUACAUGCUGAACAUGUAAUCAUGAGAACCUGUGUAGAAAAUGAUGGAUUAGAGAGAGAUAAAGGGACAUAACUGCUCUUAAAAUCAAGAAAAUUUCCAACUUCACUGUCUACUUCUUUACAUACUGUAUAUGUAUAGAUCUGAAAUAUGCUCUAAUUAAGUAAACAACUCCCCAACAAGAUUUUGAAUACCUGUUCUCUUCUUACAUUCUAUUCUAUGCCAUCCUAAUAGUGAAAACUAAAGAUUCAUGCAAUUCAGUCAAAUGUCAAAGGGGAGGUGGCUUGUUUACAAGUACCACCCAUAAAUGAGAAAAUGGUGUUAACUGUGUUUUUUGUGUACAAAACGUCUCUAAAAUGACUUAUUUCUCUAUCUGCAAGUAUUUUUUCAUAAAUAUGUAUCAUGGUGCUGAGAAGAAAUGUGAUCUACUGUACCUGAGACCUGCCAAUCAGUACAAUUUGUUAAUUACAUGUAGAACAUGUAAAACUACAUGUCAUCUAUGUAAAAAGAAUACACAGUAUAUGAAGUACCCCAAAUAACAUUAUUUUAACCACUAAGCUUAUUUACAUGUACUUACAUGUCACUAUGAUACUUGACCAGAUUCUGGUUUUCCAUAGUACUAAAGCAUAGCUUACCCCCCUUGACUCUGUUGUCUACCAUUGUGACACUAAUGUGAUACAUCUAUUGAAAUAAGGGGUUGUAUUACAUAUCUAAUACAUUUAUCUUGAUAAUAUUAAUGAAAUUGACUGAAUUCCAUGGGUUUCAAAAAAUGCCAUUCUCUUAAAGAAUUCUGACAUCUCAUGUCAUUGACGUCAACUCCCAUUUUUGACAAAUCUGACUUAUUCUGAGUGAAACUACACCAAUACAUCAUGUCGACCGCCCUAAAUGUGUACGCAAUAAAAUUAUUUAAAAACCCUACAUUUCUGUGUAUGAUGUUGUCAUUUUAGAGUGAUGAGAGUGUUCGAGUAAGAUCCCUGUGCCUAACAAAUAAUAUUACAAGUAUAUUGUAUCUAUGGUAAAAGUGACCUUAUAUGUGGUGCUACAUGCUGAACAUGUAAUCAUGAGAACCUGUGUAGAAAAUGAUGGAUUAGAGAGAGAUAAAGGGACAUAACUGCUCUUAAAAUCAAGAAAAUUUCCAACUUCACUGUCUACUUCUUUACAUACUGUAUAUGUAUAGAUCUGAAAUAUGCUCUAAUUAAGUAAACAACUCCCCAACAAGAUUUUGAAUACCUGUUCUCUUCUUACAUUCUAUUCUAUGCCAUCCUAAUAGUGAAAACUAAAGAUUCAUGCAAUUCAGUCAAAUGUCAAAGGGGAGGUGGCUUGUUUACAAGUACCACCCAUAAAUGAGAAAAUGGUGUUAACUGUGUUUUUUGUGUACAAAACGUCUCUAAAAUGACUUAUUUCUCUAUCUGCAAGUAUUUUUUCAUAAAUAUGUAUCAUGGUGCUGAGAAGAAAUGUGAUCUACUGUACCUGAGACCUGCCAAUCAGUACAAUUUGUUAAUUACAUGUAGAACAUGUAAAACUACAUGUCAUCUAUGUAAAAAGAAUACACAGUAUAUGAAGUACCCCAAAUAACAUUAUUUUAACCACUAAGCUUAUUUACAUGUACUUACAUGUCACUAUGAUACUUGACCAGAUUCUGGUUUUCCAUAGUACUAAAGCAUAGCUUACCCCCCUUGACUCUGUUGUCUACCAUUGUGACACUAAUGUGAUACAUCUAUUGAAAUAAGGGGUUGUAUUACAUAUCUAAUACAUUUAUCUUGAUAAUAUUAAUGAAAUUGACUGAAUUCCAUGGGUUUCAAAAAAUGCCAUUCUCUUAAAGAAUUCUGACAUCUCAUGUCAUUGACGUCAACUCCCAUUUUUGACAAAUCUGACUUAUUCUGAGUGAAACUACACCAAUACAUCAUGUCGACCGCCCUAAAUGUGUACGCAAUAAAAUUAUUUAAAAACCCUACAUUUCUGUGUAUGAUGUUGUCAUUUUAGAGUGAUGAGAGUGUUCGAGUAAGAUCCCUGUGCCUAACAAAUAAUAUUACAAGUAUAUUGUAUCUAUGGUAAAAGUGACCUUAUAUGUGGUGCUACAUGCUGAACAUGUAAUCAUGAGAACCUGUGUAGAAAAUGAUGGAUUAGAGAGAGAUAAAGGGACAUAACUGCUCUUAAAAUCAAGAAAAUUUCCAACUUCACUGUCUACUUCUUUACAUACUGUAUAUGUAUAGAUCUGAAAUAUGCUCUAAUUAAGUAAACAACUCCCCAACAAGAUUUUGAAUACCUGUUCUCUUCUUACAUUCUAUUCUAUGCCAUCCUAAUAGUGAAAACUAAAGAUUCAUGCAAUUCAGUCAAAUGUCAAAGGGGAGGUGGCUUGUUUACAAGUACCACCCAUAAAUGAGAAAAUGGUGUUAACUGUGUUUUUUGUGUACAAAAUGUCUCUAAAAUGACUUAUUUCUCUAUCUGCAAGUAUUUUUUCAUAAAUAUGUAUCAUGGUGCUGAGAAGAAAUGUGAUCUACUGUACCUGAGACCUGCCAAUCAGUACAAUUUGUUAAUUACAUGUAGAACAUGUAAAACUACAUGUCAUCUAUGUAAAAAGAAUACACAGUAUAUGAAGUACCCCAAAUAACAUUAUUUUAACCACUAAGCUUAUUUACAUGUACUUACAUGUCACUAUGAUACUUGACCAGAUUCUGGUUUUCCAUAGUACUAAAGCAUAGCUUACCCCCCUUGACUCUGUUGUCUACCAUUGUGACACUAAUGUGAUACAUCUAUUGAAAUAAGGGGUUGUAUUACAUAUCUAAUACAUUUAUCUUGAUAAUAUUAAUGAAAUUGACUGAAUUCCAUGGGUUUCAAAAAAUGCCAUUCUCUUAAAGAAUUCUGACAUCUCAUGUCAUUGACGUCAACUCCCAUUUUUGACAAAUCUGACUUAUUCUGAGUGAAACUACACCAAUACAUCAUGUCGACCGCCCUAAAUGUGUACGCAAUAAAAUUAUUUAAAAACCCUACAUUUCUGUGUAUGAUGUUGUCAUUUUAGAGUGAUGAGAGUGUUCGAGUAAGAUCCCUGUGCCUAACAAAUAAUAUUACAAGUAUAUUGUAUCUAUGGUAAAAGUGACCUUAUAUGUGGUGCUACAUGCUGAACAUGUAAUCAUGAGAACCUGUGUAGAAAAUGAUGGAUUAGAGAGAGAUAAAGGGACAUAACUGCUCUUAAAAUCAAGAAAAUUUCCAACUUCACUGUCUACUUCUUUACAUACUGUAUAUGUAUAGAUCUGAAAUAUGCUCUAAUUAAGUAAACAACUCCCCAACAAGAUUUUGAAUACCUGUUCUCUUCUUACAUUCUAUUCUAUGCCAUCCUAAUAGUGAAAACUAAAGAUUCAUGCAAUUCAGUCAAAUGUCAAAGGGGAGGUGGCUUGUUUACAAGUACCACCCAUAAAUGAGAAAAUGGUGUUAACUGUGUUUUUUGUGUACAAAAUGUCUCUAAAAUGACUUAUUUCUCUAUCUGCAAGUAUUUUUUCAUAAAUAUGUAUCAUGGUGCUGAGAAGAAAUGUGAUCUACUGUACCUGAGACCUGCCAAUCAGUACAAUUUGUUAAUUACAUGUAGAACAUGUAAAACUACAUGUCAUCUAUGUAAAAAGAAUACACAGUAUAUGAAGUACCCCAAAUAACAUUAUUUUAACCACUAAGCUUAUUUACAUGUACUUACAUGUCACUAUGAUACUUGACCAGAUUCUGGUUUUCCAUAGUACUAAAGCAUAGCUUACCCCCCUUGACUCUGUUGUCUACCAUUGUGACACUAAUGUGAUACAUCUAUUGAAAUAAGGGGUUGUAUUACAUAUCUAAUACAUUUAUCUUGAUAAUAUUAAUGAAAUUGACUGAAUUCCAUGGGUUUCAAAAAAUGCCAUUCUCUUAAAGAAUUCUGACAUCUCAUGUCAUUGACGUCAACUCCCAUUUUUGACAAAUCUGACUUAUUCUGAGUGAAACUACACCAAUACAUCAUGUCGACCGCCCUAAAUGUGUACGCAAUAAAAUUAUUUAAAAACCCUACAUUUCUGUGUAUGAUGUUGUCAUUUUAGAGUGAUGAGAGUGUUCGAGUAAGAUCCCUGUGCCUAACAAAUAAUAUUACAAGUAUAUUGUAUCUAUGGUAAAAGUGACCUUAUAUGUGGUGCUACAUGCUGAACAUGUAAUCAUGAGAACCUGUGUAGAAAAUGAUGGAUUAGAGAGAGAUAAAGGGACAUAACUGCUCUUAAAAUCAAGAAAAUUUCCAACUUCACUGUCUACUUCUUUACAUACUGUAUAUGUAUAGAUCUGAAAUAUGCUCUAAUUAAGUAAACAACUCCCCAACAAGAUUUUGAAUACCUGUUCUCUUCUUACAUUCUAUUCUAUGCCAUCCUAAUAGUGAAAACUAAAGAUUCAUGCAAUUCAGUCAAAUGUCAAAGGGGAGGUGGCUUGUUUACAAGUACCACCCAUAAAUGAGAAAAUGGUGUUAACUGUGUUUUUUGUGUACAAAAUGUCUCUAAAAUGACUUAUUUCUCUAUCUGCAAGUAUUUUUUCAUAAAUAUGUAUCAUGGUGCUGAGAAGAAAUGUGAUCUACUGUACCUGAGACCUGCCAAUCAGUACAAUUUGUUAAUUACAUGUAGAACAUGUAAAACUACAUGUCAUCUAUGUAAAAAGAAUACACAGUAUAUGAAGUACCCCAAAUAACAUUAUUUUAACCACUAAGCUUAUUUACAUGUACUUACAUGUCACUAUGAUACUUGACCAGAUUCUGGUUUUCCAUAGUACUAAAGCAUAGCUUACCCCCCUUGACUCUGUUGUCUACCAUUGUGACACUAAUGUGAUACAUCUAUUGAAAUAAGGGGUUGUAUUACAUAUCUAAUACAUUUAUCUUGAUAAUAUUAAUGAAAUUGACUGAAUUCCAUGGGUUUCAAAAAAUGCCAUUCUCUUAAAGAAUUCUGACAUCUCAUGUCAUUGACGUCAACUCCCAUUUUUGACAAAUCUGACUUAUUCUGAGUGAAACUACACCAAUACAUCAUGUCGACCGCCCUAAAUGUGUACGCAAUAAAAUUAUUUAAAAACCCUACAUUUCUGUGUAUGAUGUUGUCAUUUUAGAGUGAUGAGAGUGUUCGAGUAAGAUCCCUGUGCCUAACAAAUAAUAUUACAAGUAUAUUGUAUCUAUGGUAAAAGUGACCUUAUAUGUGGUGCUACAUGCUGAACAUGUAAUCAUGAGAACCUGUGUAGAAAAUGAUGGAUUAGAGAGAGAUAAAGGGACAUAACUGCUCUUAAAAUCAAGAAAAUUUCCAACUUCACUGUCUACUUCUUUACAUACUGUAUAUGUAUAGAUCUGAAAUAUGCUCUAAUUAAGUAAACAACUCCCCAACAAGAUUUUGAAUACCUGUUCUCUUCUUACAUUCUAUUCUAUGCCAUCCUAAUAGUGAAAACUAAAGAUUCAUGCAAUUCAGUCAAAUGUCAAAGGGGAGGUGGCUUGUUUACAAGUACCACCCAUAAAUGAGAAAAUGGUGUUAACUGUGUUUUUUGUGUACAAAACGUCUCUAAAAUGACUUAUUUCUCUAUCUGCAAGUAUUUUUUCAUAAAUAUGUAUCAUGGUGCUGAGAAGAAAUGUGAUCUACUGUACCUGAGACCUGCCAAUCAGUACAAUUUGUUAAUUACAUGUAGAACAUGUAAAACUACAUGUCAUCUAUGUAAAAAGAAUACACAGUAUAUGAAGUACCCCAAAUAACAUUAUUUUAACCACUAAGCUUAUUUACAUGUACUUACAUGUCACUAUGAUACUUGACCAGAUUCUGGUUUUCCAUAGUACUAAAGCAUAGCUUACCCCCCUUGACUCUGUUGUCUACCAUUGUGACACUAAUGUGAUACAUCUAUUGAAAUAAGGGGUUGUAUUACAUAUCUAAUACAUUUAUCUUGAUAAUAUUAAUGAAAUUGACUGAAUUCCAUGGGUUUCAAAAAAUGCCAUUCUCUUAAAGAAUUCUGACAUCUCAUGUCAUUGACGUCAACUCCCAUUUUUGACAAAUCUGACUUAUUCUGAGUGAAACUACACCAAUACAUCAUGUCGACCGCCCUAAAUGUGUACGCAAUAAAAUUAUUU